UACAGAGGGGGCAAGCGUUGUUCGGAAUUACUGGGCGUAAAGUGUGCGCAGGUGGCCGCGCAAGUCGAGUGUGAAAUCCCCGGGCUUAACUUGGGAAUUGCGCUCGAAACUACGUGGCUCGAGUGUGGCAGAGGGAGGUGGAAUUCCACGUGUAGCGGUGAAAUGCGUAGAGAUGUGGAGGAACACCAAUGGCGAAGGCAGCCUCCUGGGCCAACACUGACACUCAGGCACGAAAGCGUGGGGAGCAAACAGG
rnacentral:rRNA from 1 species